GAGUUUGAUCAUGGCUCAGAGCGAACGCUGGCGGCAAGCCUAACACAUGCAAGUCGAACGCCCCUUCGGGGGAGUGGCGGACGGGUGAGUAACGCGUGGGAAUGUGCCCUUUGGUACGGAACAACUGAGGGAAACUUCAGCUAAUACCGUAUGAGCCCUACGGGGGAAAGAUUUAUCGCCAUUGGAGCAGCCCGCGUUGGAUUAGGUAGUUGGUGGGGUAAUGGCCCACCAAGCCUACGAUCCAUAGCUGGUCUGAGAGGAUGAUCAGCCACACUGGGACUGAGACACGGCCCAGACUCCUACGGGAGGCAGCAGUGGGGAAUCUUGCGCAAUGGGCGAAAGCCUGACGCAGCCAUGCCGCGUGUAUGAUGAAGGUCUUAGGAUUGUAAAAUACUUUCACCGGGGAAGAUAAUGACGGUACCCGGAGAAGAAGCCCCGGCUAACUUCGUGCCAGCAGCCGCGGUAAUACG
rnacentral:rRNA from 1 species